rnacentral:rRNA from 1 species
CUCUACGGCCAUGUCACCCUCAACAAGCCUGAUAUCUGAUCUCGGAAGCUAAGCAGGGUCGGGCUUGGUUAGUACUUGGAUGGGAGACCACCUAGGAAGACCAGGUGCUGUAGGCA